UUUUCUAUGUUAUUCAUCGUGUAGAUGCCCCUCUUUCGGUUGGUCUCAAGACCUAUAUAUAAUGUCAGUCUCUCCCCUCUAUUGAAUAGUCACAACUAGGAUUUAUGACCAUCAUAAACAUAACCGUUUAUUUUAUUUAUUUGUAACGGACUUAAUAAAUACUUGUAACCGUUUAUGAUCAUUAGUGAUAUGUAACUGAUUUCUUAAUC
rnacentral:lncRNA from 1 species